GCGGGCGUGGCGGAAUUGGUAGACGCAAGGGACUUAAAAUCCCUCGGCCGUAAGGUCAUGCCGGUUCGAUCCCGGCCGCCCGCACCA
rnacentral:tRNA from 1 species